CGGGGCCCGCACAAGCGGAGGAACAUGUGGUUUAAUUCGAUGAUACGCGAGGAACCUUACCCGGGCUUGAAUUGCAGAGGAACAUAGUUGAAAGAUUAUGGCCGCAAGGUCUCUGUGAAGGUGCUGCAUGGUUGUCGUCAGCUCGUGCCGUGAGGUGUCGGCUUAAGCGCCAUAACGAGCGCAACCCUUAUCAUUAGUUACUAACAGGUCAUGCUGAGGACUCUAGUGAGACUGCCGUCGUAAGAUGUGAGGAAGGUGGGGAUGACGUCAAAUCAGCACGGCCCUUACGUCCGGGGCUACACACGUGUUACAAUGGGGGGUACAGAGGGCAGCUACCGGGCGACCGGAUGCCAAUCCCAAAAACCUCUCUCAGUUCGGAUCGAAGUCUGCAACCCGACUUCGUGAAGCUGGAUUCGCUAGUAAUCGCGCAUCAGCCACGGCGCGGUGAAUACGUUCCCGGGCCUU
rnacentral:rRNA from 1 species